rnacentral:rRNA from 1 species
UACGAAGGGGGCUAGCGUUGUUCGGAAUUACUGGGCGUAAAGCGCACGUAGGCGGGUUGUUAAGUCAGGGGUGAAAUCCCGGAGCUCAACUCCGGAACUGCCUUUGAUACUGGCAACCUAGAGGCUGGAAGAGGUUAGUGGAAUUCCCAGUGUAGAGGUGAAAUUCGUAGAGAUGUGGAGGAACACCGAUGGCGAAGGCAGCCUUCUGGGCCAACACUGACGCUCAUGCACGAAAGCGUGGGGAGCAAACAGG